CCCUUAGAUGUCCUGGGCCGCACGCGCGUUACACUGAUGCAUUCAACGAGCUUAUAACCUUGACCGAGAGGCCUGGGCAAUCUUGUUAACGUGCAUCGUGAUAGGGAUAGAUUAUUGAAAUUAUUAAUCUUGAACGAGGAAUUCCUAGUAAACGCAGAUCAUCAAUCUGCAUUGAUUACGUCCCUGCCCUUUGUACACACCGCCCGUCGCACCUACCGAUUGGAUGGUCCGGUGAAGCCUCGGGAUUGUGGUUCUUGCCGCUUUAUUGUGGCGUGACCGCGAGAACUUGUCUAAACCUUAUCAUCUAGAGGAAGGUGAAGUCGUAACA
rnacentral:rRNA from 1 species